CUCUGUCCCUGUAAAAACCCUCCAGCUGGAGGCUGCGGACGGUCAGCCACUUGCUGGCUGUCAGCUCUGAUGUGAGCUGCAGCGUGUGGAGCUGCUGCUGGCUCAGUUUAUGUGAGGUGUAGAUGUAAAGCCACGGUGUGUCCAUGUUAAAUGUGCCUGAACAAUAUGAAGACAGACAGGGCGUCUUUGGGUGGGCUUUUCCAGUGUAGUCCAGCCACCAACGGCAUCAGGUUGUUGUAGUUGACCUUAAGUCAUCAGACUACAGUCAGAGUCAAGUCCCAAGUCAUUGAUGCCAAAGUCCAAGUCGAGUUCCAAGUCUUUGAUGAUAUUGUCAAGUCGAGUCCAAAGUCAUCAAAAUUGUGACUCGAGUCUGACUUGAGUUCAAGUCGCAUAACUCAAGUCCACACCUCUGGUUUUCUGCCUCCUCUGCCUCCUCUCUGUGUUUG